AGGUGCGUGUAGUGGUAUUUCCGUAGUUCUUAUUCUGGGUGUGUCGUUUUCCGAUGGAAAUUAGGGUUUCGAGGGAGUGAUCGGCGGUAAAAAAUCAGGUAUAUUGUUCUUCCUUCAUUUCCUUUCUUGUAAUCUAUGUUGAAUUGAGAUUUGAUCGGAAUUAGGUUUAUCUUUGUUGAAUUCCUUGUUCUGCUUUUUGAAAUGUUGAUUUAUGGUUUUAGUGGAGAGAUCAUUGAUUGUAGAAAUGAGUCCUUUUUGGUUAUGAGAUCAUUAAGGAUAGAAGCUUCUUCAAUGAUCUGAUUUGCAUGAUUUUUUGUUCUUAUAUUUACAAUAAUGAUGCCAACUGUGGUAGCAUUGAUGAUGCCUUGAGGCUGUUUGGUAAAAUGCUUGAGAGAAGGUAUUUAUAGCUUUUCCACAGCUUCUGAAGUACUCAAGCUCACAGGCUAAUGUUUGUUUCUUUUGACUUUAAAUAUUGGACAGGUAAAUGACAGUAAGUUCAGGCAAGAGUAUAAAAAAGUGUCAUUUCUUCCCCAUUUGUGGUAAGCUCCAAUAAGAACAUGCAGGGCUGAUGUAUUUUCAGCCCCACAGAUCAAUGUUUCCAUUUCAAGGUUCAAUAUUGAAAUGUGAUUAUCAGAAGCAGUGGGCCAUCAUUGAAAGAUUACCCUUGUAGUGAGUCUAGAUGGGAGAGGACAAGGAUCUUUCAGUUAUGACGAACGUGGAUUUGUAAAAGCUGUUCCCAGGCAAGAAGGUAAGAGAAUAAUACACCUAGGUGAACUUGAAUCAUAUGCAUGACAUGUCACGUAUCACAACAUUGGCAACAUGUCCAUCUAAUUUAAGACAUGCGCU